CCUACGGGAGGCAGCAGUGGGGAAUUUUGGACAAUGGGCGCAAGCCUGAUCCAGCAAUGCCGCGUGCAGGAUGAAGGCCUUCGGGUUGUAAACUGCUUUUGUACGGAGCGAAAAGGUCUUUCCUAAUACGAAGGGCCCAUGACGGUACCGUAAGAAUAAGCACCGGCUAACUACGUGCCAGCAGCCGCGGUAAUACGUAGGGUGCGAGCGUUAAUCGGAAUUACUGGGCGUAAAGCGUGCGCAGGCGGUUAUAUAAGACAAAUGUGAAAUCCCCGGGCUCAACCUGGGACCUGCAUAUGUGACUGUAUAGCUAGAGUACGGUAGAGGGGGAUGGAAUUCCGCGUGUAGCAGUGAAAUGCGUAGAUAUGCGGAGGAACACCGAUGGCGAAGGCAAUCCCCUGGACCUGUACUGACGCUCAUGCACGAAAGCGUGGGGAGCAAACAGGAUUAGAUACCCUGGUAGUCCACGCCCUAAACGAUGUCAACUGGUUGUUGGGUCUUUACUGACUCAGUAACGAAGCUAACGCGUGAAGUUGACCGCCUGGGGGNGGUACGGCCGCGAGUAGAACGUACAANAGAGUUAGUACGGCGUGAGACGUGCCGACGGACGACGACGAGGGAGGUUAGGG
rnacentral:rRNA from 1 species